rnacentral:lncRNA from 1 species
AGGUUAAUUUUGGACAACAAAGAAACUAUUCUUGCGGGUAAAACAGAUGCUCGCGUAUUCAUACCACUCUGCGGAAAAGCACACGAACUGAAGUGGUUUCACGACAUGGGACAUCGCGUAGUUGGCGUCGAGUUCGUGGAGGACGCUGUGCGGAGCUACUUCAUCGAUAACACUUUGCCAAUGGAAGAGGAAACUUGUCCCGUCAAUAAAUGUAAAAUACUUAAGACGCCAGACGAGCGGCUACAAGUUUUUAUCUGCGACAUCUUCGACUUUAAA